rnacentral:rRNA from 1 species
GACUGCGGAGGAUCAUUAAGAGACGUUGCCCUUCGGGGUAUACCUCCCACCCAUUGUUUAUUAUACCUUUGUUGCUUUGGCAGACCCGGCUUCGGCCCACCGGCUCCGGCUGGUCAGUGUCUGCCAGAGGACCUAAAACUCUGUUUGUUAAUAUUGUCUGAGUACUAUAUAAUAGUUAAAACUUUCAACAACGGAUCUCUUGGUUCUGGCAUCGAUGAAGAACGCAGCGAAAUGCGAUAAGUAAUGUGAAUUGCAGAAUUCAGUGAAUCAUCGAAUCUUUGAACGCACAUUGCGCCCUCUGGUAUUCCGGGGGGCACGCCUGUUCGAGCGUCAUUACAACCCUCAAGCUUUGCUUGGUAUUGGACAUUGCCAGUUUCUGGCAGGUCUUAAAAUCAGUGGCGGUGCCAUUUGGCUUCAAGCGUAGUAAUUCUUCUCGCUUUGGAGAUCCAAGUGGUUACUUGCCAAUAACCCCCAAUUUUUUCAGGUUGACCUCGGAUCAGGUAGGGAUACCCGCUGAACUUAAGCAUAUCAAUAAGCGGAGGA